rnacentral:rRNA from 1 species
UGGGGAAUAUUGGACAAUGGGGGCAACCCUGAUCCAGCGACGCCGCGUGAGUGAUGAAGGCCUUCGGGUCGUAAAGCUCUGUCGGGAGGGACGAUGGGUGAGCGAGAACAAUACCUCGGUCACCUGACGGUACCUCGCAAGAAAGCACCGGCUAACUCCGUGCCAGCAGCCGCGGUAAUACGGAGGGUGCAAGCGUUGUUCGGAAUCACUGGGCGUAAAGCGCGUGUAGGCGGUCCGUUAAGUCAGGUGUGAAAUCCCCCGGCUCAACCGGGGAAUUGCGCCUGAAACUGGUGGACUCGAGUGUCGGAGAGGGAAGGGGAACUCCCGGUGUAGAGGUGAAAUUCGUAGAUAUCGGGAAGAACACCGGUGGCGAAGGCGCCUUCCUGGACGAUAACUGACGCUGAGACGCGAAAGCGUGGGGAGCAAACAGGAUUAGAUACCCCUGUAGUCC